rnacentral:pre_miRNA from 1 species
AAAAAGACAAACCCUGGUUUCCGUGUCCAACGUUUAACCGUCUGUCUUAUUUGAAAAAAUUAGAAAAAAAUUAAAAAGACAAGUCACGCAUAAAAUAUUAAUCAUGUUUUAUCAUCUAACAACAAUGAAAAUACGAAUUAUAAAAAAAUUUCAUAUAAGACGAACAGUCAAAGUUGGACACGGAAAUCCAGAGUUUGCAGUUUGC